rnacentral:rRNA from 1 species
AACAAACGCUGGCGGCGUGCCUAACACAUGCAAGUCGUACGAGAAAGUUGGCUUCGGCCGAUGAGUAAAGUGGCGCACGGGUGAGUAACGCGUGGAUAAUCUACCCUUUGGUCUGGAAUAAUUUACCGAAAGGUGAACUAAUACCGGAUAAUAUCCCUGUUUCCCCGGAAAUUGGGAUCAAAGAAGGCUUCUGUUUACAUGCUUUUUGCUGAAGGAUGAGUCCGCGUACCAUUAGCUAGUUGGUAGGGUAACGGCCUACCAAGGUUAUGAUGGUUAGCUGGUCUGAGAGGAUGAUCAGCCACACUGGAACUGAGACACGGUCCAGACUCCUACGGGUGGCUG